UAAGGAAUAUUGGUCAAUGGACGCAAGUCUGAACCAGCUAUGCCGCGUGAAGGAUUAAGGUCCUSUGGAUUGUAAACUUCUUUUAUCUGGGACGAAAAAAGGUCUUUCUAGAUCACUUGACGGUACCAGAUGGAUAAGCACCGGCUAACUCCGUGCCAGCAGCCGCGGUAAUACGGAGGGUGCAAGCGUUAUCCGGAUUCACUGGGUUUAAAGGGUGCGUAGGCGGGCAGGUAAGUCAGUGGUGAAAUCCUGGAGCUCAACUCCAGAACUGCCAUUGAUACUAUCUGUCUUGAAUAUUGUGGAGGUAAGCGGAAUAUGUCAUGUAGCGGUGAAAUGCUUAGAUAUGACAUAGAACACCCAUUGCGAAGGCAGCUUACUACGCAUAUAUUGACGCUGAGGCACGAAAGCGUGGGGAUCAAACAGGAUUAGAUACCCUGGUAGUCCACGCCCUAAACGAUGGAUACUCGACAUACGCGAUACACUGUGUGUGUCUGAGCGAAAGCAUUAAGUAUCCCACCUGGGAAGUACGUUCGCAAGAAUG
rnacentral:rRNA from 1 species